CCUUGCUCUCUUUCCUGGAUAGUUUCCCAGUGGCUGCUUGAAGUGUUCUCCUUGCUCCAGGCCCCCUUGGACAUCCCUUCUGCUUAUUCCCACAGAGACAUUACCCCACUGCCUCCGGACCACAGCGACUUCCUGCAGAUUCUCCUUUGGUUUUGUGAUCUCAUCUCCACCUGGGCUUAGGUCUCCUGGCACGACCUCCGGGCUACGCACAUCUGG
rnacentral:lncRNA from 1 species